UGGGGAAUAUUGCGCAAUGGGCGAAAGCCUGACGCAGCAACGCCGCGUGAGUGAUGAAGGCCUUCGGGUCGUAAAGCUCUGUCGGAGGGAACGAAUGCUCCUGAAGUUAACAGCCUCAGGAGGUGACGGUACCCUCAAAGGAAGCACCGGCUAACUCUGUGCCAGCAGCCGCGGUAAUACAGAGGGUGCAAGCGUUGUUCGGAAUCAUUGGGCGUAAAGGGUUCGUAGGUGGCUUGCUAAGUCAGACGUGAAAUCCCUCGGCUCAACCGGGGAAUUGCGUCUGAUACUGGAUGGCUUGAGGUUGGGAGAGGGAUGCGGAAUUCCAGGUGUAGCGGUGAAAUGCGUAGAUAUCUGGAGGAACACCGGUGGCGAAGGCGACAUCCUGGACCAAUUCUGACGCUGAGGAGCGAAAGCCAGGGGAGCAAACGGGAUUAGAUACCCACGUAGUCCCUGAGCGGGCUGGCAAGGCGCAU
rnacentral:rRNA from 1 species